rnacentral:rRNA from 1 species
UACAGAGGCCUCGAGCGUUAGGCGGAAUCACUGGGCUUAAAGCGUGUGUAGGCGGACUUCUAAGUACCUUGUGAAAUCCCACGGCUUACCCGUGGAACGGCUGGGUAUACUGGGAGUCUUGAGCCACCUAGGGGCGAGUGGAACAAAUGGUGGAGCGGUGAAAUGCGUAGAUAUCAUUUGGAACGCCAAUGGUGAAAACAACUCGCUGGGGGUGUGCUGACGCUGAGACACGAAAGCCAGGGGAGCAAACGGG